ensembl:lncRNA
UGAGAAACAGACGGGUGGAGCAGUGGUGGCGUCUGAGGACAGACAGACAGAGACUGGUCUUAGCUCCAUGUGAACUGGCCUAGGUCAGCAGGGACUGGUCUUAGCCCAGUAUGACGUGGUCUUACUGGGCCCCCACAGCAUCCUGCACUGGGUUCCCACAUCGAGGUCCUCCCAGCAGGCGGUCCGGCUGAGGGACGUUGAAGAGACACAUCCCGCCCCCGUGCAGAAGGCUGACGGACAGGUCUGCAGCGCUGCAGCUGCUGAACUGUUGACCCGGCAUGAACCUAGAGGUCCAGCAGGAAGAGACGUCCUCCCACCUCCAGUCCACACUGCAGCCUGUCGGGGUGACCGUCCUGGAGACAGACAGGAGGAGCGUGUCAAACACAUGGAACUCCAGUCUCCAUGGCGACCAGGUCCUGGUCUACAUCAAACCCACAAGAGCCAAACCAUAAUACGAAUACCGCCAUAUCACCAUGGUUACUGUUCCAUGAGGAACACGCCCAAGCCCCCACAGUGUGGGCCACUGAUCCAGGAUCUGCCUCCAUCUGGACGGCCGCGUACAUCCAUUAUCCAAUCAGUGGCCUUUCCUGUCUUUGAAGAGGGACUUCCUGUCCAACGCCGGCUCCCUUUCCUCCUGUCGCCUCGAGAGGAAGAUUAGAAGUGUGUGUGUGUGUGUGUGUGUGUGUGUGUGUGUGUACGCGGCAGACGUAUUGAAUAUAUUGUAGAGACCCCGACGCGUCAUCCCUCAGCCAGCGUGCGUGCUUGGCAGGGGAGGGCAGUGAUUGGUGGGUAUUAGAGGAGGCGGGUGUUCGCCUGGUUUGUGCUGGUGAACUAGUCGAGUUAGUUAGGGGAGCUCCGGGUAAUAGAAGUGAGUACAAGCGCACACAGCGCGCGUGUCUUCUCACUCUUCAUCAUAACGGAUCAAAGGACGAACAUCUGUGGGUGAGACGCUACGAUGUGGAAGCCAAAAACUGAAUAAGACGUCAUUAAUGUUGGAUUUUCCUCAUUCGGACAGUUCUUGAACACAACAGUCAUGUGACCAUAAGAGAAUCACCAGGUGAUUGUAAUAAUAAUGUUAAUAGAUUUCUCUACUUCUAGUCAUUGUGGUUCCGUUUCCAUAGAAAAGAAAGACUUUUAUUUUGAAAAUUCAGACCGCAGAGAAAAUGUGGCUUAGAGGGUUAAAUGUGUCUACAGAUACUUUUCAUCCCUCUUGAUGGAGCCGAUUAUGUUCCGUGUUAAUAAACUGUCACAUUUUCUUUUCCUGAUAUUUAUUUUAACAACAUUGUAAAUAAAGACUCUUUUUAAAAUGAGCGGAAUUCCUCUGUUAGGCGUGUUGGUUUCUCCACCCUUCAGUGCCGUGGUGGAGUCAUUGUGCACCAGGA